rnacentral:ncRNA from 1 species
CUGCGAUCGCCAUGCUGAUGUGCGACGGAGUCCGUGGUGGUCGCAGAGAGUUUCAGACGUCCAUCGCACCGCACACUCGCUUGAGCGGGUAAUAUGCGGCCCGAACGCGGGAGAGAACGCUGAGCGUUACAAC